AACAACUUAGUAGAAGCCAUCUAGUCUUUCAUUUCACAGAUGAGGAAAUGGAAGCUUCAGAAACUUAAAGUUAUAGAGUUGAUAAACUGGCAGAGCAUGGAUUUGAAUUAAGAUCUUCUGACUCUUUCCAUUACAUCAUGCUACCUCCUUCUCCUCUCUCUAGGCUUCAACUAAUUUGUGGACACAAGUAAGAGGCUGUGAUAAUGAAAGGGGAAAUGAAACAUACUUACAAGAAUCUGGAUAGAGAGAAAGACAAAAGCUUCCAGGACUCACCACCUUUCCCAUGAUGCUCCACUUCAGCUCAAAGACACCAGACUUUGGGACAACGGUUGUCUCCUCAAGCCUUCGUUUUCUGGAGAGCCACUUACCAAACAUUUUCAAGCUAUGGAAACAAAUUCAUGGACUCAAGUCUAAGAACUCCUUCUGGAGAGCUACCUGUAACUUUCAACAUUGCUUCAAUGGAGGUAACUUUUCCCCCAAACCUAUGGAUGUUGUUUGGUGGUGUUUUCUCCAGUAUGGUUGCUUCCCGUUUUCUCAGAAUGCAAGUAAAAUGAAUCUAAUAAUAUUCGAGAUCACGAAAAUGUUUUAGGAAGAAGGGAAUUAUUGAAUAACAAGAUGCUGAUUUGAUCUCCCACUUCCCACUGAACUCCGGGUUUGUAACUCCUGGUUGCCUUUAUCCUAUGGCAUUGGAUAUUCUAGCAGCAUAUUCCUGAAUAGAGAGUAAGCUGCAUGAGAGCAAGGCCCAAGUCUUAUCUCAAAUUUGUACUUCUCUCAGUACCUAGCCCAAUAUUCUGC
rnacentral:lncRNA from 1 species